rnacentral:lncRNA from 1 species
CUUUCCCUGACAUUUCAUUCCAUGGUGGCAGCAUACAUUCUCUCCCUCUCGAGCAAUUAUAAUCCCACUCACAAAACCAAGCAGCAUACGAAGACUUCAAGGGUCUCUUAACAGUAGCUCCGUUUCUCAUACGUCAACUAGCUCAUCUUCUACUGAGUCAUCUACCCAUUUUCAGAAGAGCCAUGUAAAAAAUGCCAAAGUCCAAAUGUUGUUGUUGAAUCCCUUCCAAAUUCUUACAAGAAGGACAGGAAGGGGAAGCAGAGGUAGAGAAACACUUCAGUUAGCAAGCACUGGUUGAGAAAGCAUUAUGUAUGGGUGUGCCCUGUCACUGGGACGGGAGGGCUACUUGAAAGAUAACCUGGAUCCACAUCCUCAAAGAGCUGGCCGGGCGCUGGGGCUGGGAGAUACCCAGACAACAUUGACUGGCUUUUUGGGUUCCACAAGCUUCCCUCUUUCUGGCUAGGGAACUUCUGGAUGGAGGUGCUGAGGAGCUCAUGUUCUGAAUCAGACUUGGCCUGAAACCUGGCUCUGGUGCUUUAUUUACUGUGCAACUGCACGCCAGUUAUCUAACCGCUUGAAGAUUCAGUUUCCACAUCUGCCAAUGGAGACAACAGUAUUUGUAACAGGGCAGAAAGAAGCCAGUAUGUGACCAGCACGUAGUCAGGUCAAGGGCAGCACAUAGCUGACUAGGAGGGAGCUGGCUGACCCCGGCCCAUCGCAGGCAGCUCAGGAAGCCACUGGCUCCUGAGAGCUUCCCUCUCCUACUUCCCCAGGGCUGGGAACUCCUUCACCUGGUCCAACUUCCACAUUCCUACCUCUGAACCCUGUGCAAACCUCCCUUGGUUCACCUCCAUUCAUCCUUCAGCCCAACUUGAUCCUCCCUUCCCAUCUCUCCCUGAAACUCCCACUCCGCCACAGGAAGGCUGAGUCACCCCAGAUGCUGUCAAAGCAGCUAAGCUUUCCCAUAUCUCAGCAGCUGUCACUGGCCUUUGCGAGUCCCCAUGUGCUUGUCUACACCCCCUACUAGACUGUAUGAGACUGGAGGGCAGAACCACACGCUGGGCUCUCUCCCAAGCUCCUAGUUCAAUAAUGGACAGGAGCAGGUGCUCGGUAACCAUUGCUUUUAGAAGAUGAAUGAAUGAACACAAAUAGCUACCAUGUCUAAAACUGCAUAAACCUGCCCUUAAUAGAAAGUACAUGGCUCCAAUGUGGCAUCGAAUUCUGCUGUCCUGUCUUGUGCCCGGUGUCAUUACAUCUCUGGAUAAGCAGAGAUGGUUAUGGUGUCACUUUGAGGGCCUUCUACCAUGCCAUCAGCUCCCCAUCCUACUCACAGUGGGUCGAGUGUACGUUGCGAAGUUUGGCCAACUUUCAAUUAAUAAGUCUGCCGUUGAUAGAUAGGGGCGUUAAUGCGGAUGCAGUUCAAAUGUUUAUGCCAACAUCAGGCGUAAACAAACAUGGCAAGAAUUCAGGUCAGUCCAACCAUUAGUAACAGUAUCUUCCUGCUCUUCCGUGAGCUGUUUCAGACUUUGGUUUCAGCCCCACCCCCAGCAUAAAGAGCCUGGGAUGGGACUGCAGCUUCUAGAAUUACAACCAUUUUGUCAACUUGUCAUUUGCCUCACUGUCUGGCUGGUGCCUGUCCCUCUGGGUCCAGAGACGUUUUGCACAGGAAGAAAGCAAUAAAGUGAACACAGAGGCAGCGAAUUCUCCAAUCUUCAAAGGACCUUGUUCUGUCCCCCACUACAUACAUAUUUCUGGCAAGCACCAUGGAGAGCCUCACAUCUGUUACCUCCUGCAUGGCUGGGAAUCAAAGCAGUUACCCCCAUGAGAUGUUUUCUAAAGGCCCAAGGGCAAUGGGCCAUCUUAUCCUCACUCCCUUGGUGAGCUUCCCUGACGACAUGAAAAUACCUGAAAAGGCUAACUUUGUCUGUUCCAUAUUGCCUUAAAAAUAAGAAUACUCCUAACCUUUAGGGGUUUAUAUUUGGAAAAAGGAAAUGAACUAGAUACAGCCUAUAACAAAAAGGCAGGAGUGUGAGUCAUUUUUCAAAUUAUUUACAAGUUCAGGACCAAAAAAAUAUAUUUAAAUAUUUGUAGAUACUAAAUAUUGAACUGAUUCUGUUCAAUAAUUUCUCAGUGUAUAUACCUUUCUUAGCUAUAUUUUAUUUUUUAUUUUUUAAUUUAAAAAAAAAUUUUUUUGGUCUUUUUUGGCAUUUCUUGGGCUGCUCCCAUGGCAUAUAAAGGUUCCCAAGCUGGGGGUCGAAUCAGAGCUGUAGCUGCAGGCCUACGCCAGAGCCACAGCAACAUGAGAUCCGAGCCAUGUCUGCGACCUACACCACAGCUCACAGCAAUGCUGAAUCCUUAACCCACUGAGCGAGGCCAGGGAUCGAACCCUCAACUUCAUGGUUCCUAGUCGGAUUCGUUAACCACUGCGCCACGAUGGGAACUCCUAUUUUAUUUUUUAAAGGAAACUGAGUGGAUACCAUUGUAAUUGCUAAAAACCUACCUGAUUAGUAAGAUAACCAGGAUUUAUAAUCCAUAAUUACUUAGAAUUAGCCCUGGGAAUAGUAACUAAUAUUCUAGAAAAUUGGGAGCCAGAAGACUCCUAUUUAGAUUUCAGCUGUACCAUUUCCUCAUCAUUUCCACAACAUGGGGAUACUGCACAGUUCCAUCAGAGAUCUGCUGUGAUGGUCACACAUGAAAGAAUUCUGUCAAGUGCUGUGCAUCUCAGUAGUUACAGAGGUCUUUCCAGCUCCCCCUUGUGACUGAAGGGCCAAGGCCAAGAGGGUUCUCUUUCCAAAAAAGAGUUACACCCAGCUAUUUUUUUAAAUGCUAAAAUAAAGCUCCACCAAUUAUUUCUCUAGGUUCAUUUUGGCUGGGAUGUUCUAGACACAUGAGAGAAAAGCUUCAAUACAAAUUAUUAUGAAAAGACAAAAACAAAAACAAAUUAUUUCAAAUAAUUUGCUUAGUCAGUUGAAUAAUGAAUCAAAAGAGUCAGAAAGUAUCAUCAUUAGCAAGCUUAAAAAGCACCUGAAUUCUUUUUUUUUGUAUUUUGUAUUUUUUAUAGUUGAUUUACAAUGUUGUGUGAAUUUCUGCUGUAUAGCAAAGUGACCCAGUCAUACAUGUGUAUACAUUCUUUUUCUCUUAUCAUCCCCCAUCAUGUUCUAUCCCAAGAGAUGGAAUGCAGUUCCCCGAAUGCACCUGAAUUCUAACCCAACCCAUUUGGCCAGUGCGGAAAGGGAGGAGAGAAGGUGAGUAAGUGGCCCAAGGGGCCAUGCAGAAUCACAGACUCCUGACUCCUACAGUGCCCCAUAUCUUCAGUGCUCCCAGCUAAACAAAACCUUCCUUUUUAGCUUUCCACAUGAAGCCAGCAUCUCAGACCACAAAAGCACCCCUCUCAAAAAGGUGUGGAAUUGCUGCAAAAGCUGAGGCUGGCAGUCGCGGGUGGCGCCUGACGGCUCACCAUGGGAUCCUUGCUCUGUACCUCCACAGCAGGCAGACAGGUCGGGGGUCCCCUCCCUGCGGCCCGACGCAGCUUCCCUCCCCACCCCUUCAAGCAUCUCAACCAGUCACAUCAGCAUCAGUGACAGUCACCACAUUAUUAAAAUUCCAGGCAGAAUCCAAAGGGAAAGAUCAAGAUUAUGAAAUGUCUUAUUCCAGGAGGUAUCAAAGACCAGAGGAGAUCUGUUCCUUAUCUUACUUGGGCCCUAAGCGGUGCUUCACCCAACACACAGCCGUGCACACCUACAGAUGUUCCGAGCGGGGUGGGGGUCAUUUGUUUCUUAGCCUCUCUGAAUCUGAGGCUGGAAAUCCCUGUGUCCAAAAUCCGUUGGUGCAGGAAAAACCCAAUCUGAACAGACCCAAAUAACCUCAGAACACACUGCUGCCAGCACAGCUGUUGCAGAGUUUGCUCGUCUGGAAAAGGGUUCUGCAGUGCUUUAAUGCGCAACGGGAAAUUAGGAAAGAGAAGGAAAGAUACUUCGACCCACGCAUCCCUCCACCUCUCCCAGGCACUCUCUCCCUUAGAGGGAUUGUUCCUCCUCAGGAAACAGAGUCAGUCUCACUAUGCAGGACACAGGGAAGAUGAGGUGUCAUUUAAUCUCUGCUGAUUAAAUCCCAAGGAGAACACAAAAAUCAAGGACAACUCAAGAGUCAUUUCUGGUUGGCUCAGAGCGAUAUUAAGAGCACACACAGGAGUUCUUGUUGUGGCUCAGCGGUAACAAACCCCACUAGUGUCCGUGAGGACGUGGGUUCAAUCCUUGGCCUCGCUCAGUGGGUUAAGGAUCUCGUGUUGCCGUGGUCUGUGGUGUAGGUCGCAGAUAUGGCUGGGAUCUGGCAUUGCUGUGGCUGUGGCACAGGCUGGUGGCUACAGCUACAAUUCAACUCCUAGCCUGGGAACUUUCAGUCCUAAAUAAGACCAAAAAAAAAAAAAAAAAAAAAAAACCCAUCAUGGUGCAGUGGAAAUGAAUCCAACGCCUGGAGCUGUUUUCACCCCUUCCUGGUUUAACUAGUGUUCCAGGCCAGGAUUUAGCUGGGUUGAAGAGGUGAGGGGCUUUCCAUCAAAGACACAACUCCCCACGGCCACAUGAAGUGAGAGACAUCCAAGGGCUCAAGGGAGCUCUCCCGCCCCAGAUGGGGCCCAGGGGGGACUGUAUAGGCCACGCCCUUCACCUUUGAAUUUUCCAGGCCUUUCAGUGAAGGUGAACACAUGAUUUCCUUUCUCUAUUUUAGAGUGCUCUGACCUGUUUAGCUCUUUUUAGGAUUCACAGGAAAAGCACACUAUUCUUCUAGACCCCAUUAACCAUGACUGUGAGAGGCCCAUCAGGCUGGAAACGCACCCCACAUGGCAAGAAAAGACCUUCUAGGUACCAGACAGACAGACCCAGGAUCAAAAAGUGAGAGCAAACUGCACAGCCUCACCUGGAAAAGCACAGCACAGACUUGCUACGGACUCUUCAAGCCCAGGGGUAAAUAAUCACAGGAGAUGGAUAACGUGUUCGGCCUUUUUUAGAGGGGCCAAGAUAUUGGUAAAUAUGUCACAAGUUUCUUUAGGACUUGUAUUUUUUUUUUAAGGGAAGAGAAGGGGAGAAAGAGAGAGAAAGAAAGAGAGGAAGAGAGAGUGUGUGUGUGUCUCAUUUUCUAAAUUCCAAGUAGUCUAUUGCCAGUUUGAGUUCUCUUGGCAGAACC